rnacentral:rRNA from 1 species
CCUACGGGGGGCUGCAGUGAGGAAUAUUGCGCAAUGGGGGAAACCCUGACGCAGCAACGCCGCGUGAGUGAGGAAGGUUUUCGGACCGUAAAGCUCUGUCGAGCGGGAAGAAGUGCAUGGUGGCUAAUAUCCAUUAUGCUUGACGGUACCGCUAAGGAAGCACCGGCUAACUCCGUGCCAGCAGCCGCGGUAAUACGGGGGGUGCUAGCGUUGUUCGGAAUCAUUGGGCGCGGCGAGCGAGGUCAGGGCUGAAAGCCCUGGGCUUAACCUAGGAAGUGCAUUUGAAACUGUUCAGCUUGAGUAAGGGAGAGGAAAGUGGAAUUCCUGGUGUAGAGGUGAAAUUCGUAGAUAUCAGGAGGAACACCGGUGGCGAAGGCGACUUUCUGGCCCUAUACUGACGCUGAGACGCGAGAGCGUGGGUAGCAAACAGGAUUAGAUACCCCAGUAGUC